rnacentral:rRNA from 1 species
CCAGCACCCCGAGUGGUCGGGACGAUUAUUGGGCCUAAAGCAUCCGUAGCCGGUUUUACAAGUCCUCCGUUAAAUCCAGCUGCUUAACAGAUGGGCUGCGGAGGAUACUAUAAGACUAGGAGGCAGGAGAGGCAAGCGGUACUCAGUGGGUAGGGGUAAAAUCCGUUGAUCCAUUGAAGACCACCAGUGGCGAAGGCGGCUUGCCAGAAUGCGCUCGACGGUGAGGGAUGAAAGCUGGGGGAGCAAACCGGAUUAGAUACCCGGGUAGUCCCAGCUGUAAACGAUGCAGACUCGGUGAUGGACUAGCUUUAUGCUAGUCCAGUGCCGCAGGGAAGCCGUUAAGUCUGCCGCCUUGGGUAGUACGGUCGCAAGACUGA